rnacentral:rRNA from 1 species
CCUACGGGUGGCAGCAGUGAGGAAUAUUGGUCAAUGGGCUAACGCCUGAACCAGCCAAGUCGCGUGAGGGAUGACGGCCCUAUGGGUUGUAAACUUCUUUUGUCAGGGAGCAAUUGGCGCCACGUGUUGCCUUAUCGAGAGUACCUGAAGAAAAAGCAUCGGCUAACUCCGUGCCAGCAGCCGCGGUAAUACGGAGGAUGCGAGCGUUAUCCGCAUUUAUUGGGUUUACAGGGUGCGUAGGCGGAAUAUCAAGUCAGCGGUAAAAAUUCGGGGUUCAACCCCGUCGUGCCGUUGAAACUGAGGUUCUUGAGUGGGCGAGAAGUAUGCGGAAUGCGUGGUGUAGCGGUGAAAUGCAUAGAUAUCACGCAGAACUCCGAUUGCGAAGGCAGCAUACCGGCGCCCAACUGACGCUGAAGCACGAAAGCGUGGGUAUCGAACAGGAUUAGAUACCCUAGUAGUC